rnacentral:lncRNA from 1 species
UCGUUCAGUAGUUGGAUUCGAGAUAUUCACUAUUUUGCAUGUUUAUAAUAUGGUUGAUGAGCUGAGGAUGAAGAUAAUGAAUCAAAUGGACGAAAGGAUAGAAGCAGCGACGAAAUAGAAUUUUGUUCUUCGUCCUGUUAUGGACAAAGGAUUGUCUUUGAAAAUUACCAAGGGACGUGGAAUAUUGGCCUCUCUGGUGAGGGUGUCUUCUAGGUUCGUUUAUUCCCAUCUGUUUGCUCGUGCUAUCAGUGGCAGAUCAAUGGAUUCCCUUGUUCUCAUGCAGUUACAGUAAUUUUGAAGACCGGUAAAGAGGUGGUUGAUUAUGUUGAUCCAUUUUAUUUUGUAGAUACUUUCUGUUCUUCAUAUGCUGAAAGCAUCCAUCCUAUGUUAGCGGUUGAUAUUACGGAUUUUACAAAGGGUUCAAGUAUUAUUCAGCCUCCCUCGAGUAAGAAACCUCGUGGUAGACCGAAGCACAAGAGAAUUUCUUUGAGGAAGAAGAGACUGAUUAUUUUUGUUUUGGUAUAUGUACUAAAACAGAGUCUAUACAAAAAAAAGGUUAAAAGUUGGGGUAGUUUUGCUUUGUUUAUUAGCCCUAAACUAUUUUCCUUCCCCUUCAUACCUCACCCCUCAUUUCUUUGGGCCCUGUUUGGUGAUCUAUUUGUUCUCAGCACUUGUCACUUCAACCUAGAAUCAUCAAAAAAAUACAUGCAAGUUGCAUAGCUAGUGCUCUCACACCAAUAAUAUGAACAACCAAAACCUAUUCUAUCCAUGAUCUGUGGUCUCUGUCUCUCUCUCUCUCUCUCUCUCUCCACUAAGAAAAAGCUCACUUCCCUUGAACAAUGGAAAACCGAU